UGUGAACUGCAGGACACAUGAACAUCGACAUUUUGACUGACAUAUUGCUGAGUCCAUGCAA
rnacentral:rRNA from 1 species